UUGCUUUGUGCUGCUUCCUUGCCCUUGCGCCUAUUUUUUUAGUGAUCCAUCAAUAUAACUUUUUAUAUGUGACUCCAUUUUCUUCAUGUUCCUUUUUAACCUUGAAAGUCUUAAAUAUUUUUCAGAUGUUGAUUCAUGUUUUGUGGCCUUUUCAUUUCUUUGUAGGUACUCCAGAUUCAGUUGACCCUUUUUUGUGGUUAUGGAGCUGGUAGUAAUAUAUAUAUAUAUAUAUAUAUAUAUAUAUAUAUUUGUCUAUUUUAGCUUCGUUCUUGGUACAACUGCUAAGAGGCAUGUAAUAUCUGUUGUAAAAAUAGUGCAUAGUCUCAUUUUAGAAAGACUUAAACUUGCUCGACAUCACCAACAGCUAGAAAAAGAAAUUACUUCAUAUGGAAAAGAACAUAGGUAGCCUUUCAAUUUACUCUUUUCUCUGUUGAAGUUGGUUUCCUUCGAGGAAAGUCUGAGUAGGGUACAAAAGCAUAUUGUAGUGGAGGGAUGCUGAUGCUGGAUUCUUAUUGUGCAACUACUUUGGCGCUAUUCCUCUAAUGUACAAUCUAGAAGCACCAGUCGUCUUCUUUCUUUCCACCUCCUUCUUUGCUUCCAUCUUAUUUUUGCUCUGCUCUUUCUGUCUUCUUUUCUCACUUGUAAGACAAAGCAGUGUGCAAUAUAUCAAGGACAUCAGUUAGAAUCAGGUUAUAAGCUAAAGAAGAUCACAGAGGAAUCAGUUUCACAUUGGAAGCAUGGAGUUUGAAGGUCCACUAUGUCACAAGCGGAAAAAGCUUUACUCUUUUCAUCCCAAGUUCUCAUCGAAUGGUAGGAAGUUGCGUUGAAAUGAAACAGUCUUUCGCCAACUCUAGAAGAUAUAUUCAGUUUAUACACUCUCAAGUUGCACUCAAAACUGAAGUUAAUACAUAAAAUAUCUUUUAUUGUGUUGUGAUAAUUCAAUUUAUUCUCAAAGGGUAUUCAAAAUUCCUGUAGCACGGGCAUGCAAUACUAGUCUAGUUCUAUAUGCUAGAUCCGUGUGUAUGCACAUGUACGUGCAUACAAAUAAUUCAGAAUUUUAAUUUGAUACAUACAAAUACAAUUGUAGGUAUUAUUUCAUUUUAACAAUAGUUUCAACCUUAAUACAAUUAUAAAAUUUUACACCA